rnacentral:rRNA from 1 species
CAGUCGCCACGGUAAUACAGAGGGUUCGAGCGUUAAUCGGAUUUACUGGGCGUAAAGCGUGCGUAGGCGGCUUUUUAAGUCGGAUGUGAAAUCCCUGAGCUUAACUUAGGAAUUGCAUUCGAUACUGGGAAGCUAGAGUAUGGGAGAGGAUGGUAGAAUUCCAGGUGUAGCGGUGAAAUGCGUAGAGAUCUGGAGGAAUACCGAUGGCGAAGGCAGCCAUCUGGCCUAAUACUGACGCUGAGGUACGAAAGCAUGGGGAGCAAACAGGAUUAGAUACCCGGGUAGUCCCUGUCUCUUAUAC